UGGGCUGGGGUUCCUGUCCGCAGGCUUUGGGCUUUUAGAGUUACAACUGUAUAUCCUGCCCGUCUGACUUCUGUUUCAAAGCUGCUACCAGCUGUAAAGUACUUGACAUCUGGAUUUUGGAGGGUCAUGCUGGAGGGCUUGCUGAGCCAAGGUUUCUAAAUCCCCACCACUGCGGAUGGAGAUCCAAACGGAUGAGGCCACGGGGUCAUGCAGGGGGUCUGGAUUAAAACUGUUGCUUCCUCUGCAGGCCGGCAGGUGAACUGGAAACUUGAGUGGAUAGAGAACAGCUGGGAUCCCCAGGAGCAAGGGACUGUAGUGCGUUAGUGGAUUGCUUCUUUUUCCUAUCUAAAAUAAGGUGCACAAGCCUCGCUGAGAAGAAGGGCAGAGUCUUGGCUAUCAUCUGGUACAAAGCGAUGCCUGGGCUCCAAACAUCCAUGGCGGGGCAUUCGUAGCCCUGGCGCAGGAAGACCUCUGGGGCCAUGUAGAGAUACAGCCCUUGCCCUGCCGGCUGCCUGGGUAAGACCCACCGGGGAACCCCCUCGCCCUCCAACACACAGCCCAACUCUCCCUGAAUCUGCCUCCUGCAGUUGGAGCUCUGCCUCAGGAAAGAUUCAGGUGACUUCUUCCUCAGUACCAGUGCUGCGGACAUCAAGAUGACCUACCAGGAAACCAGGGCCAUCACCAUGGUCAGUUUGGGUCAUUGGUCCCCAGGGUGAUUUUCAUUCUUCAUCUGGGCCAUUGUGAUGGUCAUAGAUCGGUGUUUUAAAAGCUGUCACUUCAUCUCAUCAGCUAUGUCUAGCAAAGCUGUUAGUCUCUGAUUUAUUCUGCAACUUGAGUCAUUUUCGUGCUACCAUGGUGAUUUUGUUUUAUUUUUGAGACAGGGUCUCACUGUUGCCUGGGCUGGAGUGCAGUGGCAGGAUCGUAGCUCACUGCAGCCUUGACCUCCUGGGCUUAAGUGAUCCUCCCAACUCAGCCUCCGGAGUAGCUGUGACCACCAUCACCGGGCUGCGCACGCCACCACACCCGGCUAAUUUUUGUAUUUUUUGUAGAGAUGGGGUCUCACCAUGUUGUCCAGGCUGGUCUCGAACUCCUGGGCUCAAAAGAUCCACCAGCUCUGGCCUCUCAAAGUGCUGGCAUUACCGGUGUGACCCUCCGCACUCAGGCUACCUUUAUGAUUUCAUUCUAUGGCCACAAAGUACCCACACUGUUACCUCGUGGUUUCCUUUCUGUCAGUCUUUUCAUUAAAAUUAAAAUUAAAAUGCUAUUACGUAAGCAGCACUCCAACAACAAUAGAGAAAAUGGCUUUUAAAGAGGUUGCACCUUUCUCUGUUUCCCCAGGUUGAUUUCUUGACCCUCUCCCUUUUCUUGCAAGUGUCGACUUAUCUGUGCUCCAGGCAUGGAAGAGUUCCGUGUUCUGCUUUCCAUCAUCUUAUUCUAGUCCCACUAUUUCCCCAUGUUGACAGGGAGGCUGGCUGAUUGUUUUAUGUCGUCAUUUGUACUUUUGCCCUUCUUUUCUAAUCAGAGUGUUUGGAUGGUCAAAAUGUUCUCGUUCUU